rnacentral:rRNA from 1 species
UACGUAGGGUCCGAGCGUUAUCCGGAUUUACUGGGUGUAAAGGGCGAGUAGACGGAACUGCAAGUCAGAUGUGAAAUGCUAGAGCUUAACUUUAGAACUGCAUCUGAAACUGUGGAACUAGAGUGCAGGAGAGGUAAGCGGAAUUCCUAGUGUAGCGGUGAAAUGCGUAGAUAUUAGGAGGAACACCAGUGGCGAAGGCGGCUUACUGGACUGUAACUGACGUUGAGGCGCGAAAGUGUGGGGAGCAAACAGG